GAUCAUGGGAUUCCUAAUACAAUCCACCCCUUUCUUAGAGGAAAGGCUACUUAAAUGUGUAAUAAAUUAUAUAGCUUAGCUCUCAGUAAGAGCAUAUAUUGAUGAAAAUGUUUAUAAACAUCAUUGUUAAUGACUAUGGCUUAGAAGGUAUAUGGAUUGGGGGAAAAUGUUUAAUUCUCACUGUAGCAGUUUACAGAGCUAAAGCUGCCUGUGAUACUUUUUUUGAAACUGUCCUAGUCUGGCUGAUAUUUAGAACUGAUUCAUGAUAUGGGUUUUCUGUGUUGCAAAGAAUAUGUAAAAUGGACGUAUGUGAAAAGUUCGGUCUGUAAAGGGGAGCUUUGGUGGAGAAGAGCAGGUGUUGGGGACAGCUUGGGCGUGACUGGGGCAAGCAUUACCACCAGAUGAGGCGGCGCCUGUGAUUAUUCUGACUGAAAUUCUCCCUCUAGCAGGGUCGAGGAUGGCAUUCCAGUCCUGUCUUCCCUGCCCAGCGGUUCUUUCUGAUCCUCGGUCCCUUCAGCAAUAUGUGCUGUGUGAUUACCUCCCUGAGAGCUUCCCAAGCUCCUCUGGAGGAAAUAAGUUCCUCCCAGAAGAUCAGGGGCCAGGCCAACAGAAGCAUCAGCAGCAGCACCGCUCUGAUCCACAAACCUGGUGUGAAAAAGCAGAAGGUCGAGACGCAGAAGGCUCCAGCACCUUUUCUGGGGGGAAGAGCAGAACAGCACCACAAGGGCUUUCUUCAGCCCAGCUCAGGGACAGCCAGGAGACGCUGGGAGGCAGCAGAGGAGGAGGAAAGGACCUGGAGGAAUCAGAUAACAUGUGGAAGGGAGCUGAGGCCUCAGAGCCUGGACCAGGCAUGUGCGGGAAAUACAGACUAGGAGUUAGCAAGAAGUCGGCCCUAUUCACUCACCAGAAAUAUCACGAAGAUUCUUUACUAACCAGCUUGUUCACUAACUUCUGUAUCUCAGUCUGCAUUUCAGAGAAGCCAAACAGACAACAAUCACACA
rnacentral:lncRNA from 1 species